CCUAUUAUUUUCACUCACAUUAGGUAGUAUAAUAAACCAUAAUAUACUGGCGGUCUUUAACUACUAGAGAAACUCGCUUCAUAAUCGUAAUUACCCGAUAAAUUUCACUUAUAUCAAUAGUUUAUAUACCGCCGUUAAAGAACUUUUAUAAAAAUUAGAUCCAAAAUUACUUUUAAAAAAAAUCAGGUCAAGGUGUAACACAUAUAUAAGAAGAAGUAAGUUACAAUAAACAUAAUUUAAGAAAUAAAACCUAAAGCAAUUAAGAAAGAGAAUUUAUUUACACAUUAAGUUUAAAAAGCUUAAUUGAAUUAAAAAAUAAAGAUGUACAC
rnacentral:rRNA from 1 species